UAUCCGGGUUUCUAACACACU
rnacentral:miRNA from 1 species